CCUCAUGCGUCUUUAUGAAAGACGCAUAAUCGUCAUGCGUCUCAUUAAAAGGAGACGCAUGAGGGUCAUGCGUAUCUCCCAAAUCCGGAACAAAAAAAAAAGUUCAGUACAAACGAGGAAUGAUAACUCUAUUCUAGUACAAAAGAAAAAAAAACCCGGCUAUAUAAAUCCUCAUACUCUAAUCUCCUUCCCUCACACAAAUUCGCAGCCACUCACUUCUCGCUGUUGAAUCGCAAAGCGGCGGAGGGAACAGUAGAAAGGAACUUCAUUUUUCCUCACCAAAUCCAAAUUCCAUCAUGGAUCGAUUCGGGAGGGGGAGAAGCCAGAAGCUUCAAUCUUUUGUUUCAAGCCAAUUUGUUCUUUUGAAGGUGAGACCUCGCAAGGGAGUCGUGAUCGCAAGGGAAAGGAAGUAAUUUCGGAUUAAGCAAUUGAGGUGGGCUUUCUUUUAAAUAAGGACGAUGUCCUAAAUGUUUUAUCGAUGGGAAUGAAAUUGGGUUUAUCA